CCGGGAGGCUGCUCUGCCGGGGCGUGCGGCCCAGGCUGCGGGCAGCGAGACCCCUUGGGGGGCGCUCUGAGAAGCCAUGUGGGUCCCAGAUGCCAUGGGGAGAGGCCGCCGUUCAGGGUCCAGGGUGAUGAGCCCCUGCCUGAGGUGCCCGUGGAGAGGCUCUCCUGCUGCGGGAAGACGCUUACAACCACCACCAAGAGGCUCCAGGAGAUGUCAGAGAUAGCCAAGCCGCCCCAGGAGAUAUCAGACACAGAUGAGCUGCCUACUGUGGCCCUACCAGUCAUGCCCAGCAGGGUGCCAUCCCCAGAGACUGGGAAGGAUCCUUCUGGGAUCAAGCUGCCUCCCUGGCUUGGGAAGUGGGGGACCAGCCCCGAGGAGGAGUCCCCCUCCACACUGCCGGCGCUACCCUCCACCCCACCCACGCUGGCAGAGAAGCCCAGCCAGUCGGUGCCCCAGCGAAGCCACGUGACCCAUGACUGGCAGAAGGAGGUACUCGUGGAUCCCCUGGACUCUCGGCCACAGAAGGAUUUGUGCAGUGAGGACUUACAGCAUGGCUACGAUGGACUGCCAAUCCACCAGUUUCUCUCCUCACUCACUGCCAGCUCCCUCCCGAAGAACUGCCCACCCCUCAGGGCCAUGCUGCUGGGGCAAGGACAGCGGAAGGCCACACUGGCAUCCAUGCUCUAUGAGAAAUACAGUAAGGAGACAGAGGAGGAGAUCCAUCCCCGCCCGAGGCGCAUGGAAUCUAUCUCCACCACACAUCACGACUACCGUGCCAUGGGUUUCCAGUCCACACCCCAGCCCACCACCCAGGUACAGGCAGUAGGCAUCCCCUACCAGCUUUCAGCAGCCUCCAGGGAGGCAGCAAGGCUCUUGUCCUUCUGAGCAUGCCAUCCCCUCCAGCUCACAUUUUGCUUUCACUGCAGCGUCACAAUUACUUAACGGAGCAGCCAACCAGCUUCUGGCUGGAGCAAGCCCGCGGGCAGCCGGUAAGGCCCCCACCAGCCUGUCCUGCCAGUACUCUGGGAGUCUCAGCUGCUGACAGACAUCUCUCCAAUUCUCUCCUCUCCAGGGUGUCACUGCCCUCUUCGGCAGAAACAUUCCCUUCAAGAGGAAUGCAGACUUCUCCACUCCCAUUACCAUGUACUUAGGGCAUCCCGAGCCCUUCAACCUCUGUGACCCUUAUGACCCCCUGAGCAGACAGCUCCAGUCCCACAAGUAAUAAAACACAAGGGGACACAGGUGGUCCCA
rnacentral:lncRNA from 1 species